UUGGAAUAAAUGAAACUAAAUACACAGUGAUGCAGGAGCUGCAGUCCUGUAUUGUGAAUCAAAGCCUAUCAUCAGUGUCUACUGUCUGCAGAGCGAGUUGUUGUAGCAGUAGGAUCCUCUGCCAGCUGAAGUUCCUGUCCUGGUGUUAAAAGAGAGAUCAGCUGCUGAUAAUCUGCUGUGUGUUGGUCCUGGAGAACUACUGCACAGGACGGAUCUUCAUGAUGAUGAAGCAGAUCUGAGGUCUGUGAGGCAGUGAUGAUGGACAGGUGACCAGCUGCACCUUUAAACUAGCGAGUUGUUGUAGCAGUAGGAUCCUCUGCCAGCUGAAGUUCCUGUCCUGGUGUUAAAAGAGAGAUCAGCUGCUGAUAAUCUGCUGUGUGUUGGUCCUGGAGAACUACUGCACAGGACGGAUCUUCAUGAUGAUGAAGCAGAUCUGAGGUCUGUGAGGCAGUGAUGAUGGACAGGUGACCAGCUGCACCUUUAAACUAGCGAGUUGUUGUAGCAGUAGGAUCCUCUGCCAGCUGAAGUUCCUGUCCUGGUGUUAAAAGAGAGAUCAGCUGCUGAUAAUCUGCUGUGUGUUGGUCCUGGAGAACUACUGCACAGGACGGAUCUUCAUGAUGAUGAAGCAGAUCUGAGGUCUGUGAGGCAGUGAUGAUGGACAGGUGACCAGCUGCACCUUUAAACUGUGAGUUAAAACAACACUCACAUGUCCACAUGUACAUAAGUAAAGUUUUAAGGUACUUGUACUUCAGUGUUUCCAUGUCAUGCUUUGUUGCAGUACUUCUCAGAGGGAAAUAUUGGACUCCAAAUGGUUAUUUUAAGUGUUAUUACAGAUUGAGCUGUCCAGCAGCAUGUAACAACCUUUACCAGCUGGAACAUUAAGGUGAUGAACACAUGAAUGAGUUAAUAAUUAUAAUUCAUUUAUAUAUAUUAUUCUGAAAUGACCCAUUCUGCAUAAUGAGUACUUUUACUGGUGGGAAGUAAGUAUAUUUUGAUGCUAAUACAGGAUGCAGGUUAACGUAGUAUUUCUAGACCGUGCUAUUUUAAGAGUUUAAUUUAGAAAUAUUUAUUGUAUUUAUUUAUUUAUAAGAACAUGACUCUUUCAGUUAUUGUUUAUUAUGUGGAACUUCAGGGGUGCAUCCCAACUUCAGGAUGAAUGAAUGUAUAAAUGAAUGAAUUCUCAUAUGUCAUGGUGUUUACUGAAGGAUUUAAGGUAAUAAACAAACAAAACUACAUCACAUGUUCUUCAUUUGUUUCAUUUCCAGAUUCAGUGUUUGUUAAUGAAAUUAAGGGCGAUCUGCACACUUUAAGGCAUUUAUUGUGUAAACUAUUCAAAAUGGA